rnacentral:tRNA from 1 species
ACUGCUGUUGCUCCAUGGUAGGGCGCUUGGCUAACAGCCAGGAAGUUGCAGGUUCGACUCCUGUCAGCACUC